ensembl:lncRNA
AUGAUGAGAAACACAGACAGACACAAAGACUCAGAGCCACAAAAAAAUGUUGGUCACUGCAGCACAAACCUCUCUAUCCUCUCUCUAAACCUCUCUAUCUCUAUCCAUCUGUGUGUCUUUCUAUCCAUCUGUGUGUGUGUCUGUCUUUCUGUCUGUCUGUCUCUUUAUCUGUCCCUCUCUCUAUCUAUCUAUCUGUCUGUCUAUCCGUCUGUGUCUCUGUCUAUCUACACAUCUCUCUGUCUGUCUGUCUGUCUAUCCAUCUGUCCGUCUGUCUGUCUAACAAUCUUUCUGUAUGUCUAUCUACCCAUCUCUCUCUCUGUCUGUCUAUCCAUCUGUCCGUCUGUCUGUCUGUCUGUCUUUCUUUCUGUCUGUCUGUCUGUCUGUCUGCCUGUCUUUCUAUCAUCUGUCUAUCUAUCUGUCUGUCGUUCUGUCUGCCUGUCUUUCUAUCAUCUGUCUAUCUAUCUGUCUGUCGUUCUGUCUAUCUAUCUGUCUUUCUGUCUGUCUGUCUGUCUGUCUGUCUUUCUUUCUGUCUGUCUGUCUGUCUGUCUGUCUGUCAAUCUAUCAUCUGUCUAUCUAUCUGUCUGUCGUUCUGUCUGCCUGUCUUUCUAUCAUCUGUCUAUCUAUCUGUCUGUCGUUCUGUCUAUCUAUCUGUCUUUCUGUCUGUCUGUCUGUUUUUUUCUGUCUGUCUGUCUGUCUGUAUGUCUGUCUUUCUAUCAUCUGUCUAUCUAUCUGUCUGUCGUUCUGUCUAUCUGUCUUUGUCUGUCUGUCUGUCUGUCUGUCUGUCAAUAUAUCAUCUGUCUGUCGUUCUGUCUGUCGUUUUGUCUGUCUGUCUGUCUGUCUGUCUAUCUAUCUGUCUGUCGUUCUGUCUAUCUGUCUUUGUCUGUCUGUCUGUCUGUCUGUCUGUCUAUCUAUCAUCUGUCUAUCUAUCUAUCUAUCUAUCUAUCUAUCUAUCUAUCUAUCUAUCAAUCCGACUGUCUGACUGACUCUCUAUCCAUCUAUCUGUCCAUGCAUCCAUCCAUCUAUCAUAUAGAAAUGCAAUUUCAAAUUAAGGAAGUAGAUUAA